UCUCUCUCUCCAAAUUUCAGAUUUUUCUUCUCUCUUCCUCUCUAGCUCACGCCCUCUCUUCCUCUCCUCACCCAAUCCACCAAAAAUCAUUAAUUCUUCAUGAAAUCAUCAUGAAAAUUGUUUAAGAGUGUCCAUUGUAGUGAUUAGACCAAGAAAUAAGCUUUAAAAUUAAUCCCUCUUCCUUCAAAUCAGCCAUCUACCCAUCCUUCUAGACUUUGGGAAAAUUUCAUUUGCAAGCAAGAGGGAAAGAGUUCAAGAGAGGAAAUUCAUGGUGGUGUUUUGUUUGGUUGCUAGGUUCAAGGUUUGAAGUGGAAUCUCAAGUGGGAAGCUUAUUCUAGUAAGGGUUUAUUUUAAACAAGUUGAAAUACAGAAAGUUAAAAGCAGAAAAGAUAACCCGAAAUCAGCCGUUUUGCAGAAGCGUGAUUAUGAAGCUGACAGAAGUUAUUUGAGACCUAAAUGGUGUAGAGAAUUCAGGAAAAUGCUAAGAUAUUCAGGUUACUAGACGACGUCAUGGUUCGUGAUGAAGAAGCAGAAGUCGCUGGAAGUUCACGUCAGUAGUGUUAUUUUAGAGGUAUAAGAUCUAUAUCUUAUUCAGAAGAAAUCUUUAUUAUUGUAAUUUUAAUGUAUCCAAUGCCAAAUUUAACACACAUGCUAGAUAUCCUAGGUAAAUUUCUAGUAGGGGUGUUACAUUAUUAAAGUUAGGUAACAAGCAUUUGGUACUACUAACUAAUUCUGAUUGUGAAUUAGCGACAGCGUCAGUUUGUGGUGGCUAGCUUUAGCUUCUUAUGAAAACAGGGGACGAAUGAUAUGUGAUUCAGUUUUGUAGAGGAAAGAAAAGGAAAUCAAAGUAGGGCCAAUGCACCCAAUACAUGAAGCUCUUCUUAUGAGUUGUUAAGGCGUUGGAAUCUGGGAGUACGUAGCUAGGUGGAGAUAGAGUGAAACGUAGGCAAGAUUGGAAUGAAAAAUGGGUAGUAGUGGGGUAUAUAUAUAUACCUGAACGUUAAUUUAUUACCGUUCUAUGUGA